GAUGAACGCUGGCGGCGUGCCUAAUACAUGCAAGUCGAACGCACAGCGAAAGGUGCUUGCACCUUUCAAGUGAGUGGCGAACGGGUGAGUAACACGUGGACAACCUGCCUCAAGGCUGGGGAUAACAUUUGGAAACAGAUGCUAAUACCGAAUAAAACUCAGUGUCGCAUGACACAAAGUUAAAAGGCGCUUUGGCGUCACCUAGAGAUGGAUCCGCGGUGCAUUAGUUAGUUGGUGGGGUAAAGGCCUACCAAGACAAUGAUGCAUAGCCGAGUUGAGAGACUGAUCGGCCACAUUGGGACUGGUACACGGCCCAAACGCCUACGGGAGGCUGCAGUAGGGAAUCUUCCACAAUGGGCGAAAGCCUGAUGGAGCAACGCCGCGUGUGUGAUGAAGGCUUUCGGGUCGUAAAGCACUGUUGUAUGGGAAGAACAGCUAGAAUAGGGAAUGAUUUUAGUUUGACGGCACCAUACCAGAAAGGGACGGCUAAAUACGUGCCAGCCGCCGCGGUAA
rnacentral:rRNA from 1 species